rnacentral:rRNA from 1 species
GGCUGAAAUUACGCCUUCAUGAAGCUGGAAUUGCUAGUAAUGGCAGGUCAGCAUACUGCCGUGAAUACGUUCCCGGGCCUUGUACACACCGCCCGUCACACCAUGAGAGUUGGAAAUACCCGAAGCCUGUGAGCUAACAGUAAUGAGGCAGCAGUCGAAGGUAGAGCCAAUGAUUGGGGUGAAGUCGUAACAAGGUACC